UACGGAGGGUGCGAGCGUUGUCCGGAAUCAUUGGGCGUAAAGGGCGCGUAGGUGGCCCGGUCAGUUCGUGGUGAAAGCGCGGGGCUCAACCCUGCGUCGGCCAUGAAUACUGCCGCGGCUGGAGCACUGUAGAGGCAGGCGGAAUUCCGGGUGUAGCGGUGGAAUGCGUAGAGAUCCGGAAGAACACCGGUGGCGAAGGCGGCCUACUGGGCAGUUGCUGACACUGAGGCGCGACAGCGUGGGGAGCAAACAGG
rnacentral:rRNA from 1 species